AUCAAAAGUAACAGUAUCUGGUGUGGCCAGCAGCUGCAUUAAGUACUGCAUCUCCAGUAUGGCUGGUGGUAUUGUCAUGCUGAAGGGUCAUGUCAGGAUGAGCCUGCAGGAAGGGUACCACAUGAGGGAGGAGGAUGUCUUUCCUAUAACGCACAGUGUUGAGAUUGCCUGCAAUGACAACAAGCUCAGUCCGAUGAUGCUGUGACACACCACCCCAGACCAUGACAGACCCUCCACCUCCAAAUCGAUCCCGCUCCAGAGUACAGGCCUCGGUGUAACGCUCAUUCCUUCGACGAUAAACGUGAAUACGACCAUCACCCCUGGUGAGACAAAACCGUGACUCAUCAGUGAAGAGCACUGUUUGCCAGUCCUGUCUGGUCCAGCGACAGUGGGUUUGUGCCCAUAGGUGAUGUUAUUGCCGGUGAUGUCUGGUGAGGACCUGCCUUACAACAGGCCUACAAGCCCUCAGUCCAGCCUCUCUCAGCCUAUUGCAGACAGUCUGAGCACUGAUGGAGGGAUUGUACGUUCCUGGUGUAACUCGGGCAGUUGUUGCCAUCCUGUACUUGUCCCGCAAGUGUGAUGUUCGGAUGUACUGAUCCUGUGCAGGUGUUGUUACACGUGGUCUGCCACCGCGAGUACGAUCAGCUGUCCGUCCUGUCUCCCUGUAGCGUUGUCUUAGGGGUCUCACAGUACGGACAUUGCAAUUUAUUGCCCUGGCCACAUCUGCAGUCCUCAUGCCUCCUUGCAGCAUGCCUAAGGCACGUUCACGCAGGUGAGCAGGGACCCUGGGCGUAUUUCUUUUGGUGUUUCAGAGUCAGUAGAAAGGCAUCUUUAGUGUCCUAAGUUUUCAUAAUUGUGACCUUAAUUGCCUACCGUCUGUAAGCUGUUUGUGUCUUAACAACCGUUACACAGGUGCAUGUUUAUUAAUCAUUUAUUGUUCGUUGAACACAAGCAUGGGAUACAGUGUUUAAACCCUUUACAAUGAAGAUCUGUGAAGUUAUUUGGAUUUUUACGAAUUAUCUUUGAAAGACAAGGUUCUAAAAAACGAUGUUUCUUUUUUUUGUUGAGUUUACUUGUAUGUGCACAAAUAUAUACAGUAUGUAUUCAUAUUCAGUAUAUAUUGACACUAUAAAACAGAAAUGCAAGGGGGAACAUUGUAUUUUCUCAAAACAUUGUAUUUUUAUCCAGAUUUCGGUAUGAACAGUAACAUACAAAACAAAUACAGUAGAAGAUAAACAAAAAGGCUUGUUACUAUAAAGAAAAAAACAAUUAUGGUGCAUCCGGUCUCCUAUUUGGGUCUGGCCACAGCACCGAAUCAACAUCACAAGUUGAUGUUCUCUCUGGCUAAACAGUGGGGGAAGUAUUGUCUGAAGUAGUGUAUCCAGCCCUGGCAUGCCCCCUCGUUCAUGUCACCACAGGCCUCCUCCAUCGCCUGGAGAAAGGGUAUGCGUUGGUGGGGUUGGCAAUCGUAUACCUCCCAACGUCACUCCAAAAAUAACUUCUAUUGGGUUUAGAAAUUGAGAAUAUGGUGGCAGGUUGAGCAUAAAAAACUUGAUGGUCAAUGAACCAACUGUGGACCAGAGCAGCCCGGUGGUAUCUUACGUUGUCCCAGAUGACAAAAAACCUGGACUGCUCUGGCACAUUCCUCUGGUCAUUGGAAAUUAGGAUAUUAUGCAGGGUGCCAAGGAAGGUGAUAAUGUGGGCAGUAUUGUAAGGACCAAGAGUAGCAUGAUGAUGGACACCGUUCUGACUAAUGGCUGCACACAUUGUGAUGUUGCCACGACGCUGUACAGGGACAUUAACGAUGACGUGGUGUCCUAUGAGGUUUCUUCCCCUGUGUCUUGUUUUGGCUAGGUUAAAGCCGACCUCGUCAACGUAGACAAAAUCACGAUGCUCUGCAGCAGCAUCUAGUUCCAUAACUCUGAAACAGACAAAACAUUAUUGUAUGACAGUAUGAAUAGACAGAGUAGUCAAUAUGUAGCACAAUACACUGGAAUACAGUACCAAUGACAGGAUAGUAUAGCUUACUUGUACGUAUUUAUAGCGCAGUUGUUUCAUACGAGCUGCUUCAUACGAAUCUGAUGGCGUUUCAGGAGACGGUCAAUUGCGGAUAAACUUACCCCGUUUAUGUUACUGGAUGUUGUGUUCAGUGAUUUGGUGUUGCAGUUGUCGUAAACGUAUGCUGUUGUUUGAAAUGACCAUAUUCACUAUGUGUUGUUCCUGCUCUGCUGUGAACAGACGGUUUCUUCCUCCAUUGAAGGGUCGUCUAGCAAUUCUGCCAAAACUUGAUGUGAAUGGUUAGGGUGCAAGACUUCUUUCAGUAUGAAAUGUUACUGUAGUGCUGUAAGUGCUGCAGUGCUGUAAGUACAGUAGCAUGGUAUAGAGGAUAGGUUCUCAUUUUGGACCCUCUGCCCAGCCUCCCUAAAACUCAAACCAUGGUUGACCACAUGGUCAACCAAAGGGAACCGGAUCUCAUCUGUGAUGCUUCUCCUUCCUCCUCUUCCUUGUCCCACUCCUCGUCCUCACCCUCUUCCCCCCCCCGUCCUCAUAUCCUCCUCUUCCUUGUCCCUCGCUUACUCUCACUCCUCAUCCUCUAACUCUCUCUCCAAAAUUGGUCUCCAUUGUUUUCCAAACCAAGAAAGCCAACCUGAAGCCUAUUUAUAGUGCUCAAGCUCUGAUUUCUAAGUGAAGAAAUUAGCUAUAAGUGUUUUCACACGUGAGCACUGGGUGUUGGUAAUCGGUAAAUGAGUGUGUCAUUUUGAAUGGCAGUGCUUUCCAAACGAAACACUAGACCUGUUAGUUUUGAAUAACGUGUCUAAUGUAGAGAACUGUGUUUAGUGUUUUGCAAAAAGUGUUUUACAAUUGGAAACUGAGUGUAAAGCAGAUAAUGUGUUUGCAGUUUUGCAGACUUGGUCUGAAGAUUAGGUACAUGAGUUAAUCGUUUCACUGAGUGUGCCUCAAAUACCACGUUUAGUGUGUAAGCGAUUGUAAAAAACUGUAACCAAAUCUAAAAUGAGGACAAAUCAGUGUGCCAAAUAAUGUAACAGGAUUGACCUUAACAGAGUUGACAAUUUCAUUUGAAAUCAGCCAUUAAUCCCCUCGUGACAGGGGGAAUGGAAGCUUGUUGUGUGCAACAGGGAGGAUUUCUUUCACCAUAUUAAAACAAGAGUUCAGUUCACUUAACAGGGUUGGCACAGACGUAAAUUAAUCACUAAUCACAUGAAAUAAAUAGUCAUCUUCAGAAAUGACUGUCAAAGCAACAAAAUAACUUGGGCUUUACAAUAAUGGUGAAACUUGGAGACAUUUUUGGAUUUAGUGGGUUGAAAUCUUCCUAGAAGUGACACAGGGUUGAAGGAGGGAGAUGUAAAAACUCAGAAUUUUGGCACUUUAGCAAUAUUAAAUACUCAUAUUAAAAAUAGGGUUUAUUGAAUUAUCCAUGUGGUCUAUAUUAAAGGGCAUUUAAUUUCAUAUAGCAGGCUUUUAAAAUUCAAUAUUGGUUCACAAUAUCUACUUCAAAUAUCAAAGGGAUGCAAAAGGCACUGUUUUUGUGGAAUGACCCUCUUACGGCCAUUUUAGCAUCUACAUCACCAUCCAGAACUUGUUUCUACAAAUACAUUUCAUUUUUACAGUGCGUUAAACUCUCCAUCUGCAAUUUGUAAAAUGUUGUCUUUUCUGUUUCUAACCGGAAUAUUGUUUCAAAUGUAGAACCCUUGCGCAUCAGGACAGUUGAUUGGAAAGAUGUCCUGAUCUAUAUGUACAGAUACUGAAAAUGAUAAUUCAAAAACUAACAUCUGAACUACAUUGCUUUGCAAAGGGUUGCCUUCUGUAAACACAUUUUAUUUGACUCUAUAUUACUCAUUAUGAACGACUUUUUGAUGUGUCAGGCUGCAGGUGAGGCUUAUGAAUGUGAUGGGUACCAAUUGAAGAGCACCCCACAGUUUCUGUUCUGCUACUUUUUGUUGAUGUCUACAUUUCCUUUCUGUUGAGGCUCCUCCAGGUUCACUGCGUCAGAGUCCCCUGGACUUUGGCUUUCACAGUGCAACACUCUGCCUCUUCCUCUUUUCCUCUGCUCUGGCCAACUCCUCUGCCCUUUACAGACAGCCGUACUGUAACACAAGGCUGAAUGUCACUGAGUUAAUCCUGCUUUAUUCAAUUAGGAAGAUUGGGAGGGAAGCGGAUUGAAAAAAGGAUAUGAAAUAGCCACACUGGGAAAGGAAACAUUGCUACAGAAUAUCACCACAGGAGUUGAUAACCAAGUAUAACUAUCAGUCAGUGUACAGUAUGGAUGUAGCUCUGGGAGAAGAUGCGUUAACAAAGCAGCUUCCACGGAGGCCUGGCAUAUAGUGUAUUCUGGUCCCUUGUCAACCUUACUGUAUCUCAUAGAAUUCUCAGUGAUAUACUGUUCAUGGUGCUGCACAUGAUUAUGCACAGGACAUGGGAAUUGAUUACUUUGGAGUCAUUUGAGUCUAAAGCAGCUGUGCUUGGGGCUUCUUAUUCUGUGUCUAUCUCCUUGUGUACAGAUCAAUGUCGAUAAAAACACAUUUGGGAAGCGAGGAAACACAUAAGAAAACUACCGUAUGAGUUUGAUAAUCCAUGAUGACUUUUUAUGCUAUUUACUACUGUAUGAGAUACUGUUCUUAAUCAUUAUAUCUUAAUCAUUGAUGCUCCCAACUUGUUGUGGAUCACUUUGUGUACACACAGUACACACUCAAACACACAGUAAGAAGCAUGCAUACAGUAAUUAAUGGUUAUAACCCGACAUAGUGUAUGUAUUACUUGUCCUCUGUCACAUCACAGAUCUAUUUAUGAUUAAAGUAUUUUAUAUUGUC